rnacentral:rRNA from 1 species
UACGUAGGGUGCAAGCGUUGUCCGGAAUUAUUGGGCGUAAAGAGCUCGUAGGCGGUCUGUCGCGUCGGCUGUGAAAACUCGGGGCUCAACUCCUAGCUUGCAGUCGAUACGGGCAGGCUAGAGUUCGGCAGGGGAGACUGGAAUUCCUGGUGUAGCGGUGAAAUGCGCAGAUAUCAGGAGGAACACCGGUGGCGAAGGCGGGUCUCUGGGCCGAUACUGACGCUGAGGAGCGAAAGCGUGGGGAGCGAACAGG